UUACUGUGUAUCUCUUCCUU
rnacentral:sRNA from 1 species